rnacentral:rRNA from 1 species
AGAGUUUGAUCAUGGCUCAGGACGAACGCUGGCGGCGUGCCUAAUACAUGCAAGUAGAACGCUGACUACUUUAGCUUGCUAGAGUAGAAGGAGUUGCGAACGGGUGAGUAACGCGUAGGUAACCUGCCUACUAGCGGGGGAUAACUAUUGGAAACGAUAGCUAAUACCGCAUAACAGUGUUUAACACAUGUUAGAUGCUUGAAAGAUGCAAAUGCAUCACUAGUAGAUGGACCUGCGUUGUAUUAGCUAGUUGGUGGGGUAACGGCCUACCAAGGCGACGAUACAUAGCCGACCUGAGAGGGUGAUCGGCCACACUGGGACUGAGACACGGCCCAGACUCCUACGGGAGGCAGCAGUAGGGAAUCUUCGGCAAUGGGGGCAACCCUGACCGAGCAACGCCGCGUGAGUGAAGAAGGUUUUCGGAUCGUAAAGCUCUGUUGUAAGAGAAGAACGUGUGUGAGAGUGGAAAGUUCACACAGUGACGGUAACUUACCAGAAAGGGACGGCUAACUACGUGCCAGCAGCCGCGGUAAUACGUAGGUCCCGAGCGUUGUCCGGAUUUAUUGGGCGUAAAGCGAGCGCAGGCGGUUUAAUAAGUCUGAAGUUAAAGGCAGUGGCUUAACCAUUGUUCGCUUUGGAAACUGUUAAACUUGAGUGCAGAAGGGGAGAGUGGAAUUCCAUGUGUAGCGGUGAAAUGCGUAGAUAUAUGGAGGAACACCGGUGGCGAAAGCGGCUCUCUGGUCUGUAACUGACGCUGAGGCUCGAAAGCGUGGGGAGCAAACAGGAUUAGAUACCCUGGUAGCCCACGCCGUAAACGAUGAGUGCUAGGUGUUAGGCCCUUUCCGGGGCUUAGUGCCGCAGCUAACGCAUUAAGCACUCCGCCUGGGGA